CCAUUUAAUUUGGACUAAAUUGGACCGAAACCAAAUCUUUGAAUUGACAAUUUCAAUUUCGGACCGAUUCAAAAUUGGAACCGGUUUAAGGUUGCGUUUAUAUAACUUAAUCGAACCGAAUUCAACUAUGUCCACCAUAGCCUCCUUUUCCUCAAUGCAGCCUAAAACUAAUUGACCCUUAUCAGUGUAUAAUCAAAAGCAUGCAUUGUCCUUAAUAUUAGAGAAAUACUGUAGAAAUUAACAUAAAUAAAAUGAAUUAAUACAGCAUCAGUGAGCUAAACAAAAGGGUAAAUGUUGCAUAAACCCUUGACCGAGAGAGAGCAGUAAACAUUAGAUGCAAACAAAUCCAAAAUAAAAGUUGGUGAUUAAUAAUUUUUCACCGGUUGAAGGUGACAACAAAGGCAAUGGGACCUUUCCCAGUAACAGCAGCUUCGAUACCAAAGAUGAGGAAGGCAACCAUGGCUAGCCUAGCAUGCUUGAUCUCUGCUAGUUUAAGGUUUUCUUUCUUCUCAGGAUCAGAGGCUAAGCCAAGUGGAUCAAAGUAGCCACCUGGGUAUAGCCUUUUCUCUGGAUCAAGCUCUGCAUUUCUUUGGAAUUCUAUGUACCCAAUUACUAGCACCUCUAUCCAAAUCAAUGUGGUCAAGUUGAAUGGAAGUGGCUGCCCAAGGUAGGAUGACCCUUCAACUAGCUCUACCUUUCCCGCGUCUUGCCAUGCAAUACCAGUGAGAGCUUCAACGGCAAUGGCUCCAAGAGUACCUAACAUUGCCCAUCUCCCAUGAAUAAGCUCGCAUUCCCUAAACCUCUGCAACCCGAAAACCUCCGUGUACGGCUGAAAUGGAGUUGGUUUCACCUCCGCCGGCUCCACUCUGACUCCGAUAAUUUCACCAGCCACGUUCUUCGCCAAGUUCUGGUCCAAGGAAUCAAGGUCAUAUUGCAAGUACUCUGCAGGCUUACCAAACCCAAAUGGAUCAAAACCACGGUCUCCAACCAUGGUUCCAUCUAACCAUUCUGGUGGUUGAGCACCAGGGAACCAAACGAGUCGAUUUCCUGCUGGUUUUGGCGGAGCUUUCUUUGGUGGAGGGGAUGAUUUCUUGGUUCCAAAACCAAACCUGGCUUGGAUUUUUCCCACGUUUGGUUUCGAGUUCUGGAUGCGAGUUCCAAAGAAAUGUGACGCGGCAGCUGCAGCAGCCGUGGUGGUGGCCAUGAUCGGUGAAUCUCUAGCUAGGUGGUGGAGCAGAGAAGUUGAAUGAUAACAGAAGUGGUCCUAUGAUAUAUAGAAUUUAAAAACAAAAGAAUUGUAAAGAAAUUUGUAUGUUUGUGAUUUGAAGGAUGUGAAUGGAAAUUCUAUAGGCCUUAUCGUUGCCUUAUCUUCUAGCGGAGGAGUGUGGAUGGUUGAUGGUUUCUUCACCUUAUGUGUGGGGUCUUCUG
rnacentral:misc_RNA from 1 species